rnacentral:rRNA from 1 species
UACGGAGGGUGCAAGCGUUGUCCGGAUUUAUUGGGUUUAAAGGGUGCGUAGGCGGUUAAUUAAGUCAGUGGUGAAAUCCUGGAGCUCAACUUCAGAACUGCCAUUGAUACUGGUUGACUUGAGUACAGACGAGGUUGGCGGAAUUGAUGGUGUAGCGGUGAAAUGCAUAGAUAUCGCUUGGAACGCCAAAGGUGAAAACAGGUUGCUGGGGUUGUGCCGACGCUGAGACACGAAAGCCAGGGGAGCAAACGGG